AAUUGAGGUAUAAUAGACAAAUAAAAAUGUUAUAUAUUUACAGUGUUCUAGAUGUCUUAUAUCAAAAACAGCUUGCCAGUAAACUACAAAGCAGGAGGUGGAUUUAACUACAUCAGAUAUGAACUGAAAAUACAUUGGUGCCAAAGCUCUGAUUGCCUAUUCAUGAGAUGUUGACACAAAAGCAAGAAUCACAGAUAUGACUCAUGUGCCUCAUCUCCAGAGAGAUGCACAGGGUCCUAUAAUAUUAGGACAUGAAACUUCUAAGCCCAACAGAACAUGCUUGCUUUGGAAAAGGUCUGUUCUCUAAUUGCCUCUCUGAUCAUGUGUCUUUGGAUCGGUAGCCACGUUCAGGGACAAGCCUAACAAGGUUACUGAAGGCCAAGACACCUGGAAAGAACAGGUUCACUGCACCCAUGAUUAAAGACAGACAGAUCGUGGCUGCUGUGGGGGUGGGAGGGGAUAUUGAGAGUCAUCCUGCAAUUUCUCCCAGGCUGACCCAUCAGCUUAAUUGAGCCUGAAGCUAAUCUGACUGCCUCAGUUUAACUUUUCUGGCCUCCAGAUGCUACUGGGCCCUCUAUCCUUAAGGCCCCUGUAUCUUCUCCAAAAAAUAGAACUGAUAAUGUAUGUAAAACAUUUAUCCAGUUCCUGGAACAAAGUAAGUGUACAGUAGCUAUUACCAUGAUUAAUUCUGGCAAUUUCACAGUGAAGUAUUCAUCAAGGGUGGGACACAGAGUGGGUGGUUUAUUAAAGGAAUCUCUUUUCUGUAUUCUUUGUCCACAGAAAGGGCCUUUCCAGAGCAAACUGGAGCGCUCUCCAGUACCCAGUGCAUUGGUAGAGGUGAAAGCAUUAUACGGUAUCCUGUUGCCACUUCUGACCAUUGUUUUACUAUAAAACCCCCUCUUGGGGGUCCUCACCACUCACUUAUACUAUUUUCUCUACAUUCUCACAGAGGUUGCACCUAUCCUCCAUAGCACACUGCCACCUCCCUACAAGUUUUUAUUUUAUUUUAUUUAUUUAUCUAUUUAUUUAUUUAGAUGGAGUCUGGCUCUGUCGCCCAGGCUGGAGUGCAGUGGCGCGAUCUCGGCUCACUGCAAGCUCCGCCUCCCGGCUUCACGCCAUUCUCCUGCCUCAGCCUCCCGAGUAGCUGGGACUACCGACAGCCGCCUGCCAACACGCCCGGCUAAUUUUUUGUAUUUUUAGUAGAGACGGGGUUUCGCCGUGUUAGCCAGGAUGGUCUCGAUCUCCUGACCUCGUGAUCCACCCGCCUCAGCCUCCCAAAGUGCUGGGAUUACAGGCGUGAGCCACCGC
rnacentral:lncRNA from 1 species